AGUAGGGUUCAAAGACUCUCUCUUCCUAUUCAAUAGGAUACUCUUAUGGCGUGUAGGAGUGCCAUUGUGAUGUUUUAAGAAGAAGAACCAUGAAAAAAGAGUUUUAUAUUCAUGCAUAUUAUUAGAACUUCAUGCAUAUAUGAUAUGCUUGAGAUGUUUAGUUAUAAUCAUAUUAUAUGAUUUUGCUUCUAUAUCUUAGAGAUAUGAUAAGAUGCCAUGAUUAGUUGUUAUGAUUAUUAA
rnacentral:lncRNA from 1 species